CCUACGGGGGGCUGCAGUGGGGAAUAUUGGGCAAUGGGCGAAAGCCUGACCCAGCAACGCCGCGUGAAGGAAGAAGGCUUUCGGGUUGUAAACUUCUUUGACAGGGGAAGAGUAGAAGACGGUACCCUGAAAACAAGCCACGGCUAACUACGUGCCAGCAGCCGCGGUAAUACGUAGGUGGCAAGCGUUGUCCGGAUUUACUGGGUGUAAAGGGCGUGCAGCCGGGAAGGCAAGUCAGAUGUGAAAUCCGUGGGCUUAACCCACGAACUGCAUUUGAAACUGCUUUUCUUGAGUAUCGGAGAGGUAAUCGGAAUUCCUAGUGUAGCGGUGAAAUGCGUAGAUAUUAGGAAGAACACCAGUGGCGAAGGCGGAUUACUGGACGACAACUGACGCUGAGGCGCGAAAGCGUGGGGAGCAAACAGGCUUAGAUACCCCAGUAGUC
rnacentral:rRNA from 1 species